rnacentral:sRNA from 1 species
UCCAAUAUAACAUCCAUCAGACAAGGCCAUCAAUGGUCCAACCCUGAUCAUUGCAACCUCAGCGUGGUGGUUUGAAUGCUUAGCCAGAGGAAAGUGACACUAUUAGGAGGUGUGUGGCCUUGCCAGGAUAAGUGUGACCUUGUUGGAAGGAAUGUGUCACCAUAUAGGCGUUGAGGUCUCCUAGUGAUCAAGCUCUGCCCAGUGUGGAGGAGACCCUCCUCCUGGCUGCCUUUAGAUCAAGAUGUUGAAGUCUUGGCUUCUCUAGCACCAUGCCUGACCAGACGCUGUCAUUCUUCCCACCUCGAUAGUGGAUGGAACCUCUGAAACUGACUCUUUGGAGCGACUGUAUUGAUGAGAACUUUCAGCAGUGGAACUCAUUACGCCUGCCAGUCACCUCCACUGUGGCUCUCCAUGGAGAGACUGCCUCAUCCCCAGAAGAGGGCCCCCAGGAACCCCAGCUUCCACUGCUCAAGAUGAAAUUACUGCAGAGUGCAGAUCAAAGCGUCAUAAGACUCACAGCCUCCUCCAGACAGCUUCAUUCAGCCGUCAUUAAAGUAACUCCAGUGACAAGAAAGACACAGACAGAGUCAAUGUGGAAGUUUAUGAUGACACGUGGGAGGAAGACUAACGGAUAACAAGUGUGAGAAUCCUGGAGGACCCCCUGCUCAAACAUGUCACCUGUAUUUUCUACAACAUAUAUGAAUGGAGGCAAAUGACACACAUGUUGUCUUCAGAGACAACUUAACACAAAGAAUUGUUAGUUUUUAAACUGGAAGAUCAAGGAGAAUGCUAAGCUGCCUCAGAGAUGGAAAAUGAAGACAGUGACUGCUGCUGGUGGGGCUGGAAGACCUAAGGAGACGUUGGAAUUCCUGAUAGGUAGAAGCUUUGAAUAGGAGCCAAAUCUCAAACUUUUGAAAGGAGGUCACUCCUUUGCUGUUCUGCUGAGUCUCAGCAGAGCAGGGUGAUCAUGGGACUGUGGGAACUUUAAGGAGGUCUGGCUAAUGGAUGCUGAUGUUUAAAGAGUUAUGGUGAGGUGGGUCUUGCAAGAGCUGGUGCUGUGCUUACAAUGAAUUGCUUGUUCCCUGGGUGAGAAGUGAGGCUAAGGCAAUGCUCACAGGACCGCAGAUCAAAGAAGCACAAGUCUCUGUAUCCCUCUAGCUGUUCUUGUUAGACUCAAGUCUGGAAUCAUAUGACAAAGCAGUCACUCACCCACUCUCAAUGUUUGUCAUCAUAGGUUCUAGGCAAUAAACUUAU